rnacentral:pre_miRNA from 1 species
GAAAUUCGUUGGCGAUUUUGAGUGAAAUCGGAGAGGAAAUUCGUCGGCAAUUUUGAGUGAAAUCGGAGAGGAAAUUCGCCGGCGAUUUUGAGUGAAAUCGGAUAGGAAAAUU